UACGUAGGGGGCUAGCGUUGUCCGGAAUCAUUGGGCGUAAAGAGCGUGUAGGCGGCCCGGUAAGUCCGCUGUGAAAGUCGGGGGCUCAACCCUCGAAUGCCGGUGGAUACUGUCGGGCUAGAGUGCGGAAGAGGCGAGUGGAAUUCCUGGUGUAGCGGUGAAAUGCGCAGAUAUCAGGAGGAACACCGGUGGCGAAGGCGGCAUCCUGGACCGGUAUUGACGCUGAGGCGCGAAAGCCCAGGGGAGCAAACGGGG
rnacentral:rRNA from 1 species